CGGAGGAUGCAAGCGUUAUCCUGAAUUAUUGGGCGUAAAUCGUCCGCCGGUGGCUGUUCAAGUCUGCUGUCAAAGCGCAGAGCUUAACUCUGUACAGGCGGUGGAAACUGAAGAGCUAGAGUAUGGUAGGGGUAGAGGGAAUUCCCGGUGUAGCGGUGAAAUGCGUAGAUAUCGGGAAGAACACCAGUGGCGAAAGCGCUCUACUGGGCCAUAACUGACACUGAGGGACGAAAGCUAGGGGAGCGAAAGGG
rnacentral:rRNA from 1 species